GUGGGCCUCCCGGACUUCAAAUCCGGUGGACCGUUCUAGACAAACGGUCGAUGGGUUCGACUCCCAUACGCUUCC
rnacentral:tRNA from 1 species